rnacentral:rRNA from 1 species
CACGUAGGGGGCGAGCGUUGUCCGGAUUUAUUGGGCGUAAAGAGCUCGUAGGCGGCUCAGUAAGUCGGGUGUGAAAACUCCAGGCUCAACCUGGAGACGCCACCCGAUACUGCUGUGGCUAGAGUCCGGUAGGGGAGCAUGGAAUUCCUGGUGUAGCGGUGAAAUGCGCAGAUAUCAGGAGGAACACCAGUGGCGAAGGCGGUGCUCUGGGCCGGAACUGACGCUGAGGAGCGAAAGCGUGGGGAGCGAACAGG